GACGAACGCUGGCGGCGUGCUUAACACAUGCAAGUCGAACGAAAAGAGGGAAAGAGCUUGCUCUUUCCGGAAUUGAGUGGCAAACGGGUGAGUAACACGUAAACAACCUGCCUUCAGGAUGGGGACAACAGACGGAAACGACUGCUAAUACCGAAUAAGUUCCAAGAGCCGCAUGGCCCAUGGAAGAAAAGGUGGCCUCUACCUGUAAGCUAUCGCCUGAAGAGGGGUUUGCGUCUGAUUAGCUGGUUGGAGGGGUAACGGCCCACCAAGGCGACGAUCAGUAGCCGGUCUGAGAGGAUGAACGGCCACACUGGAACUGAGACACGGUCCAGACUCCUACGGGAGGCAGCAGUGGGGAAUCUGCCGCAAUGGGCGAAAGCCUGACGGAGCAACGCCGCGUGAGUGAUGACGGCCUUCGGGUUGUAAAACUCUGUGAUCCGGGACGAAAAGGCAGAGUGCGAAGAACAAACUGCAUUGACGGUACCGGAAAAGCAAGCCACGGCUAACUACGUG
rnacentral:rRNA from 1 species